UACGUAGGGGGCAAGCGUUGUCCGGAAUCAUUGGGCGUAAAGCGCGCGUAGGCGGCCCGAUAAGUCCGCUGUGAAAGUCAAAGGCUCAACCUUUGAAAGCCGGUGGAUACUGUGAGGCUAGAGUACGGAAGAGGCGAGUGGAAUUCCUGGUGUAGCGGUGGAAUGCGCAGAUAUCAGGAGGAACACCAAUAGCGAAGGCAGCUCGCUGGGACGUUACUGACACUGAGGCGCGAAAGCGUGGGGAGCGAACAGG
rnacentral:rRNA from 1 species